rnacentral:rRNA from 1 species
UACGGGGGGAGCAAGCGUUGUUCGGAUUUACUGGGCGUAAAGGGCGCGUAGGCGGCCACCGCAAGUCGACUGUGAAAUCUCCGGGCUUAACCCGGAAAGGUCAGCCGAUACUGCGGGGCUAGAGUGCAGAAGGGGCGACUGGAAUUCUCGGUGUAGCGGUGAAAUGCGUAGAUAUCGAGAGGAACACCUGCGGCGAAGGCGGGUUGCUGGGCUGACACUGACGCUGAGGCGCGAAAGCUAGGGGAGCGAACGGG